UUUAAGGGAUGCCAAGGAAAGAUUGACUCGAGAAGGUGGUCAUGCACCAAGGAGAUUAAUAAUCGAAGAAAUAACUGAAGAAGUUGGGACUACAUCUUCUCAAAACCCAGGUUCAUCUGCAGCAUAUUCAGUGUCACAAUCAAAGCAAACUGUUGAUACUUCUAGCAGUGAAAGUAAGGCUAAUGGCAAGGGUUUAACCAAUUCAGAGUCUGUGCAUGCUUUGAAAGAUGACCCAGAAGCUAUAAGAUCAUUCCAAAAUUUCAUAUCUAAUGCUGAUCCCGAAACUUUGGCUGCUUUAAGCGGUGGAAAAGCUGGAGAGGUAUCUCCUGAGAUGUUCAGGACUGCCUCAAAUAUGAUUAGCAAGAUGUCACCUGAAGAGCUCCAGAAAAUGAUUCAAAUGGCUUCCUCUUUUCACGGGGGAAACCCAUAUACUGUUGGUGAUUCUUCAGAUGACAGUUUCACACCCGGUUCAGUUCCUCCCAAUGUGUCGCCAGACAUGCUUAAAACAGCAACUGAAAUGAUGAGUAAGAUUCCCCCUGAAGAGCUGCAGAAAAUGUUUGAAAUGGCAGGUUCUUCAGAUACUACUUUUAACAAUUUCA
rnacentral:misc_RNA from 1 species